rnacentral:rRNA from 1 species
CCAAUAGCGUAUAUUAAAGUUGUUGCAGUUAAAAAGCUCGUAGUUGAAUUUCAGGCCUGGCUGGGCGGUCCGCCCUUCGGGUGAGUACUGCCUGUGGUCGGGUCCUACCUUCUGGCGAAGCGUCAUGGCCUUAACCGGCCGUGGCGGGGAACCAGGACUUUUACUGUGAAAAAAUUAGAGUGUUCAAAGCAGGCAAUCGCUUGGUUACAUUAGCAUGGAAUAAUGGAAUAGGACAGUGGUUCUAUUUGUUGGUUUCUAGGACCGUUGUAAUGAUUAAUAGGGAUAGUUGGGGGCAUUAGUAUUCAAUUGUCAGAGGUGAAAUUCUUGGAUUUAUUGAAGACUAACUACUGCGAAAGCAUUUGCCAAGGAUGUUUUCAUUAAUCAAGAACGAAAGUUAGGGGAUCGAAGACGAUCAGAUACCGUCGUAGUCUUAACCAUAAACUAUGCCGACUAGGAAUCGGGCGAUGUUGACAAAAUGACGCGCUUGGCACCUCAUG